AGGCUGAACAAAAUUUUUAAGGUCAGAUAUCAUCUGGAGGAAACAGCUGGACAAAGGUGGACUCUGCUUGCUGCCCAACCAUGCUUGACAUCAAGGUAUGGGAGACAGGAGGGUGGGGACAUUGUCCUCUUGGCUCAGGUUUCCUCCCCCUUUCAACCGUGCUGGCUUCUCCCACCCACAUAGUGUGUGCCCACAGGCAGAGGAGUGAAUAUUGUCUCUUUCUUUUGCAGCUCUGAGGUUUUGGAACUUAGAUAUUUUCUCUGCUUGAACCAUUGAGAAAUCCUUUUGGGUGAAGAUAGCAAGACCUGUGCUAGGGUUGGGGCUGGAGCUAGGGCCAGGCAGGAACCUACUAACCUGCUUGGGGCCACCUCCCUGGCCCUCCUGAGGGUGUUCAGCUGUUCUAUUUCCAAGCAGGCAGCUUAACUUAGGCCUCCUGGUUG
rnacentral:lncRNA from 10 species